rnacentral:rRNA from 1 species
GAUGAACGCUGGCGGCGUGCUUAACACAUGCAAGUCGAACGAUGAUCCCAGCUUGCUGGGGGAUUAGUGGCGAACGGGUGAGUAACACGUGAGUAACCUGCCCUUGACUCUGGGAUAAGCCUGGGAAACUGGGUCUAAUACCGGAUAUGACUCCUCAUCGCAUGGUGGGGGGUGGAAAGCUUUUGUGGUUUUGGAUGGACUCGCGGCCUAUCAGCUUGUUGGUGGGGUAAUGGCCUACCAAGGCGACGACGGGUAGCCGGCCUGAGAGGGUGACCGGCCACACUGGGACUGAGACACGGCCCAGACUCCUACGGGAGGCAGCAGUGGGGAAUAUUGCACAAUGGGCGCAAGCCUGAUGCANCGACGCCGCGUGAGGGAUGACNGGCCUUCGGGUUGUAAACCUCUUUCAGUAGGGAAGAAGCGUAAGUGACGGUNCCUGCANAAANAAGCGCCGGCUNACUACGUGCCANCANCCNNGGUAAUACNUANGGGNNCAAGCGNUNUCCNGNANUAUUNGGNCGUANANAGCUCNNANGNNGGUUNAGNNUAUNCAGGAAGGGAACCCCCNGAUGGGCGAANGGCCAGGUUUUUUGGGNNCUGUAACUUGACCCUGANGGAGCGNAAAGCAUGGGGANCGAANCAGGGAUUAAGANACCCCUGGGUAGUCCCAUGCNGUAAAACGUUGGGCCACUAGGUGUGGGGGGACAUUUCCACCGUUUUCCCGCGCCGUAGCUAACGCAUUAGGUGCCCCGCCUGGGGAGUACGGCCGCAAGGGCUAAAACUCAAAGGAAUUACGGGGGCCCGCACAAGCGGCGGAGCAUGCGGAUUAAUUCGAUGCAACGCGAAGAACCUUACCAAGGCUUGACAUGAACCGGAAAGACCUGGAAACAGGUGCCCCGCUUGCGGUCGGUUUACAGGUGGUGCAUGGUUGUCGUCAGCUCGUGUCGUGAGAUGUUGGGUUAAGUCCCGCAACGAGCGCAACCCUCGUUCUAUGUUGCCAGCGGUUCGGCCGGGGACUCAUAGGAGACUGCCGGGGUCAACUCGGAGGAAGGUGGGGACGACGUCAAAUCAUCAUGCCCCUUAUGUCUUGGGCUUCACGCAUGCUACAAUGGCCGGUACAAAGGGUUGCGAUACUGUGAGGUGGAGCUAAUCCCAAAAAGCCGGUCUCAGUUCGGAUUGGGGUCUGCAACUCGACCCCAUGAAGUCGGAGUCGCUAGUAAUCGCAGAUCAGCAACGCUGCGGUGAAUACGUUCCCGGGCCUUGUACACACCGCCCGUCAAGUCACGAAAGUUGGUAACACCCGAAGCCGGUGGCCUAACCCUUGUGGGGGGAGCCGUCGAAGGUGGGACCGGCGAUUGGGACUAAGUCGUAACAAGGUAACC